GUAAUAACCAACGCCUUACAGCUUAUAAUCAUGGCACAGUAGUACGCGAUGGGCAUGGAUAUUGGCCUGGAUUGCAGGUCGGAUACGGAGUCGGAAGCUGUCCACUUUGAAGCAACACCCUCGCGGCGGAGGCCAUCGCCGGCGCCUCCAGCAGCGCCGCCGCCAAGACGAAUAGCAUCAUGACGAGCACCGCCGCCAGCCGCCGGCCGCCGGUGGUCCUGAGCGCCACCGCCAUCGUCGAUCCUCCGAUGACUGAUUUUGUCACGGAUGUUUGGGUUAAUCUCUGAAUUUUCUGCAGGUUUAAUUUAACUAUAUGGCCGUUUAUAUAGGACAAGCUGAGCUACGUACCAGGAGAGAUGUAGCAAAAACUCCGGCAUUGGUUUGACCGGCAGCGUAGCUAGUAUAUAUCUAGGUUAUCUGUCUGGAAUUUAGUUCAGUUUUCCACCAGCACAUUCAAUUAUGCAUGACUAACUGAUGACUAAUUAACUGAACUGAUCGAGAGUACAAUAUAAUUAAAACGGUUUGACUAUAUAUUUCUCGUCAAAUUUUCUCUAGAAAGAUUUGCCAGAUACAAAUCCAAUACAAUUAUGAUGUAAUCACUUUUAAACUUUUAUCAACGACAUCACUUGUACGUAACUUUUAAAACACUGUAGUAAUGCGUUGUUUCGAAUCCACUGAUCACUUUGUAUGUACCAUGCGUUUUUUUUUUACCAAAACUAGCUUUUUUUUUUGGGGGGGGGGGGCACCUAUUCGCACUUUUUCUUACGAUUUUAGCGCCUCCGGACGCAUUUUUCUUUUUUUUCCGCCGCUACUUUCCCAUUUUUCUUUAAUUAUUCGCACACCUCUUUACAAAUGUACAAUUGAUUUUUUAAAAUUUUGACUUGAAAGUUUUCAAAUUUUGUGUUGAAAGUUUUUAAAUUUGAGUUGAAAGUUUUCAAACCUGGGUUGGAUGUUUUCAAAUAUGGGUUGAAAGUUUUUCAAAUUUGAGAUGAAAAGUUGAAAGUUUUUAAAUUUUGAGUUGAAAGUUUUCAAAUCUAGGUUGAAAGUUUUUCAAAUUUGAGAUGAAAGUUGAAAGUUUUCAAAUUUGGGUUGAAAGUUUUUCAAAUAUAAGAUGAAAAGUUGAAAAUUUUCAAAAUUUGAUUCAAAAAGUUCAAAUUUCAAGUUGAAAUUUUUUAAAAUAUGAUUUAAAUGUUUUCAAAUUGACUUAAAAAUUUAAAUUUGUAGUUGAAAGAUUUUAAAAUUCAAAUUGAUAGGUUUCAAAUCUUUAGUAAAAAACAGGAAACAAUGAUAUGUGAAAAAAAGAAAGUAUAACUUGUUUUAUUGUGAUUAUCGGAUCUAAUUAUGUAAAAGUUCAGCUAAUCAUGUAGUUCUCCCGAUUUGCGGCGGCUUCAUGACACGAGAAAAGGAAAAAGGAAGACUGUUGCUAGGGGUGGGCAAAAUAAAACCGAACCGAAGAACCGAACCGAAAAGGCCGAGACCGAGACCGAAAAGUCCGAGACCGAGAAAUUCGGUUAGUAAUUCGGUCUCAGCCAUCAAAAGACCAAAUUUUUUUCGGGUAAUUCGGUUAUUGGACUCGGUUAACCGAAUUAACCGAGAAAACCGAAUUGUGGCCCAAUAGACCUAUAAGGCCUAGUAAGCCCAGUAAAAAGAAAACCCUAGAGGGCAACAGGAGGGAGUCGCGCGCCCGCGCCGCCUCCAAUCCUCACGCGUCGCUUCGUCAGCCGCUUCUGCCUGCAUCGCGUCGGGCCGCUGGCGCCGCCCCCGCCCUCCGCCUCUAGCUCGCCGGUGCCGCCUCCUCCCUCCGCCUCCAUCCCGUCGCCGUCGCCACCGCCUCCUCCCUCUGCCUCCAUCCCGCCGCCGCGGGCAUCUAUCGUGUCACCUCCGCGGCGCCGCCUUCAGUGCUGCCUCCGCCUGACCGCCUCGGCACCGCCUCCGCCAUCGGCCUCCAGCACCGGCGCCGCCUCCGCCUCCAUCCCGCCGGCCGCCUCGGUGCCUCCAUCCCGCCGGCCACAUCCGUCUCCAUCGGGGACGACAGGGAGGCAGCAAGCGGCUACAUCUUGGCUUACUGCGAUGUACUGUAAGUACUAUGCUUUUUGUUUGAUCUACUUCUCUGAUUCGAAUCUAGUGCAUAAUUUGGUUAGACCGAGACCGAAUUUGCCGGUCCUGAGAUUUUUUGGAUGAAAUUCGGUCUUGAGAUUGCAAAGACCGAAAUGACCGAAAGACCGAAGACCGAGACCGAAUUUUUCGGUCUGACCGAAUUUUUCGGUCUGACCGAAUGCCCACCCCUAACUGUUGCCACGUAAAAAAAGGAAAAAUGUAAACUGAUGGGCUGCGCGUGACGGCGUGAGCCGCAUGUGGAGCCGUCGGCAAAAAUACGCGCCAGUUAAGUUAAUGACGCGUAUGCGCUAAUUAGCAAUUCUGCAGCAAGCUAUCGUAUAUCCAGCUUGUCUCAAGCUACCGUAUAUCCAGCUUGUCUGUCUGGAGUUUAAUUUACUUUUCCAUAAGCACAUGCAAAUUAUGCAAGACUAACUGAUGAGUAAUUAACUAAACAGAAAGAAUAUAACAUUGUGAUCACUAUGCAAGAGUGUGUACCUAACUUAUUAAGACAAGUCGAUCGGUCAGUCCCGAUCAUCUUGGAAAUCUAUUAGUCCUAUAUAAAGUUUUGGGUUCGUUGGAACCAUGCCACCCUAUAUUUGCAAAAUUUAUGAUAUGCCACCCGUAUCUCAAUGAUAUGUCGGACCCACAUGAGUCAAUGACAUGUGGGUCAGGGUGGCAUAUCACAAAUUUUGCAAAAUUUGUAUGGCAUGGUUCAAAUUGUCCCUAAAAGGGAGUUUAUGUGCAGUCGUGUAGAAAAUAUAUAGGCUUGUACUAAGAGAGGAACAAACACAAUGAACUAUGACAAUGGUAUGUUUUAUUUCUAUACCAUAAUCAAAGGCCAUUCGGUAGGAAAAAAUUAUGAGUUGUGUGGUUCAUGGCCACACUUUACCACACCAUACUUUCGGUAAUCACAGUUUGUUACGCAUGUGUCUGGUUCGCUGUCAUAGUUGUGGCUUGCCACACCUUCUUAGUAGUAUGACCCACACAUCAUAAACUUUUUUUUUUAACUUUGUCAUACUUUGUAGUUAGAAAUUUAUCCAACAUACUUUUGUUGCUGUCACAACUUGUCUAAUCUUAGAUGUGGUAAUGUGUGACCGGCAACCAAACAAACAAUAGAAGUUAUGCACAUGGCACAAGGAGUGAGGAAAAAAAGAUGAUCUAGAAAAUUUCCUUUUGUAUAUAGUAUGAUAUAUGGAAGAGCAAUUAAUACAUGCAUGGAAAUAUAUAAAAACAUUUUUGCCUCACAAUGCAGCUUCCACUGGUCGUAGGCCACUAGGCCAGGCGGUAGUACACGCAGAUCGGGGUAUUACAUAUUUGCAUGGCUCUCAAACAUCACAUGCAAAUAAAUAUUUUAUUUGAAAUAUAUCUUAAGUUGUAGAGAAGAAACUUCUGUAGGAACGAUAACUAUUUCAUUAUAUGCUGUUGGUUUAUUAAAAGUAAACUAAUAACCAACGGCAUACAGCUUAUAAUCAUGGCACAGUAGUAGGCGGUGGGCAUGAAUAUUGGUCUGGAUUGCAUGUCGGAUACGGAGUCGGAAGCAGUCCACUUUGAAGCAACACCCUCGCGGCGGAGGCCAUCACCGGCGCCUCCAGCAGCGCCGCCGCCAAGACGAACAGCAUCAGGACGAGCACCGCCGCCAGCCGCCGGCCACCGGUGGCCCUGAGCGCCGCCGCCAUCGCCGAUCCUCCGAUGAUCCUUGCUAUCUAAUUAAGC
rnacentral:lncRNA from 1 species